GACGAACGCUGGCGGCGUGCUUAACACAUGCAAGUGGAGCGACGAACCAGGCUUCGGCCUGGGGCAGAGCCGCGAACGGGUGAGUAACACGUGGGUAACCUGCCCUGAUGACUGGGACAACCCGGGGAAACCCGGGCUAAUACCGGAUGUGCUGCUCUCACAUCAGUGAGAGUAGGAAAGGAAGCUUCGGCCUCCGCAUCAGGAUGGGCCCGCGGCCCAUUAGCUUGUUGGUGAGGUAACGGCUCACCAAGGCUUCGAUGGGUAGCUGGUCUGAGAGGACGAUCAGCCACACUGGGACUGAGACACGGCCCAGACUCCUACGGAGGCAGCAGUGGGGAAUAUUGCGCAAUGGCCGCAAGGCUGACGCAGCGACG
rnacentral:rRNA from 1 species